rnacentral:tRNA from 1 species
GAAAAUUUAGUUUAUUUGUGAAUGUAUAAUUGUAAAUUAUAAGGAAAUAAAAUUUUU